AGUUUGAUCCUGGCUCAGGAUGAACGCUAGCUACAGGCUUUAACACAUGCAAGUCGCGGGGCAGCAUGGAGUCAGCUUGCUGACUCUGAUGGCGACCGGCGCACGGGUGAGUAACGCGUAUCCAACUUCCCCUUAGUAGGGCAUAGCCCGGCGAAAAGUCGGAUUAAUACCCUAUGUUUUCCGAUGAGGACAUCUGAGCCGGAACAAAGGUUUACCGCUAAGGGAUGGGGAUGCGUCCGAUUAGGUAGUCGGCGGGUAACGGCCCACCGAGCCUUCGAUCGGUAGGGGUUCUGAGAGGAAGGUCCCCCACACUGGUACUGAGACACGGACCAGACUCCUACGGGAGGCAGCAGUGAGGAAUAUUGGUCAAUGGGCGUAAGCCUGAACCAGCCAAGUAGCGUGCAGGAUGACGGCCCUAUGGGUUGUAAACUGCUUUAUGCGGGGAUAAAGUGCGCCACGUGUGGUGUUUGUAGGUACCGCAUGAAUAAGGACCGGCUAAUUCCGUGCC
rnacentral:rRNA from 1 species